UGGCAGAUGAAACUUAUGGACUAUAUGGAAUUGGCGGAAAUGACUGGCAGAAUCCGUGACCAGGGAGAAGAGUUGAUGGAGGAAGACUGGAAGAAAUUCAAAGACUAUCUUCAGAAACAUUGCAAAAUUAAGGAAUGUUAGAGUGAUGUUGGAUUGAAAAUAAGUGGUUUCCAGCUGUACAGGUUAAAGAUAAGGAUAGAAUAAGAUUAAAGAUUAAGAUUAAAGAUGUUUAAAGAAAUGGAAAUUUGAUAAUAAAAGGGAAAAAUUUAAAGCUAUAUGACAUUAAGAGUAAGGAUUAGGUUUAAAAAAGUUGAAGUUAUAUAUUUUAACAUUUUAUUAAAUUAAAGAUUGGGAUUAAAAAAGGGGGAAAGAAACUGCUGGAUAAAUAAUGUGGAUUGGAAUACAAAAGAGGGAGGUAUGAGGAAGUCCAGAAAAUAAGUAAUUUAAAAUUGGAAAUGGAAAAGAGAGUUUGUUUUUAAUUGUUAUGUUUUGUGUUUUUAUUGUUGAGUUUUGUAUUGUUUUGUGUGUGUGUUGUUUUUCUUUUUUCUUUGUUUAAAACCUUAAUAAAAAAUUAUUUAAAA
rnacentral:lncRNA from 1 species